UUGAUUGAUUUGCAUUUUAGCUGAUGUGCUAGUACCCGAAAGAGGGUGAACUAUUGGUGACUAAGGUGAAGUCAGAGGAAACUCUGAUGGAAGCCUGCCACAGUGCUGACGUGCAAAUCGCUUGUCAAAGUUGCCAAUAGGGGCGAAAGACCAAUCGAACCCUCUAGUAGCUGGUUCCCUCCGAAAUUUCUCUCAGGAUAGCU
rnacentral:rRNA from 1 species